rnacentral:ncRNA from 2 species
GUGCGUCUUCAGGGCGGGGUGAAAUUCCCCACCGGCGGUAGGCCGGCGUCAGCCGGCAAGCCCGCGAGCGCCCGCGCUUCAUGCGCGGGGUCAGCAGAUCUGGUCGAAUGCCAGAGCCGACGGUCACAGUCCGGAUGAGAGAAGAUGUGC